ACUCCUACGGGAGGCAGCAGUGAGGAAUAUUGGACAAUGGAGGCAACUCUGAUCCAGCCAUGCCGCGUGCAGGAAGACUGCCCUAUGGGUUGUAAACUGCUUUUAUACAGGAAGAAACCGCUCUACGUGUAGAGCUCUGACGGUACUGUAAGAAUAAGGAUCGGCUAACUCCGUGCCAGCAGCCGCGGUAAUACGGAGGAUCCAAGCGUUAUCCGGAAUCAUUGGGUUUAAAGGGUCCGUAGGUGGAUAAUUAAGUCAGAGGUGAAAGUCUGCAGCUCAACUGUAGAAUUGCCUUUGAUACUGGUUAUCUUGAGUUAUUAUGAAGUAGUUAGAAUAUGUAGUGUAGCGGUGAAAUGCAUAGAUAUUACAUAGAAUACCAAUUGCGAAGGCAGAUUACUAAUAAUAUACUGACACUGAUGGACGAAAGCGUGGGAGCGAACAGGAUUAGAUA
rnacentral:rRNA from 1 species